AGUCUUCAAUCCUAUUGUUCUAUCAAAAUAUCUCAAAUAUCCCCUUUCUCCAUUGUUAUAUCAAAGCUCCGUUAACAAUUUCUCUCGAGUCUACCCAUUCGAACCUUCAAGAACAACAGCAACAACGAUGAGUAAUCUUGAUUCGCUAGUGAAGCAGAAAGGUUAUGGUAUCAAGAGGUUCUUCAGUAAGGGAGGAAAGUCUAUUACAUAUCCCUUCAAAUUAGGCUGGUUCAAGAUCACGCACUUUCGCAAAUGAUUUCUCUAUCCAUUGAUAUAUAUUCUGCGUGUGGUUGUUUGUGUUUAUCUGCUCCUGCUCCUGUUUAUAUUCGAUUGAUUCUAUCGCGAUCCGUUUUGGAUUUUAUACGUGAAGCAUAUUAGAAAAAAUGAUUUCCAGUUUCUACUCCAUGUUCAUCGCUACCUCCUUCUUUAUGUUUAGGGUUUGAUUGAUAAGUUACUGAUGUAAUUAGGUUUUGGACCUUAAUGAAGUUUGAAUUUUAAGCUGUGGGAUUUUGUGAUUUUUGUUUCUAUUUAUUGUUUUAUAUCAUUCGAUUUGUCAUGUAAUCGAUUUUAAACUUUGAUCUUUUAAUCUAUUAUGAGUUCGUUGUUGAAGUUUUGGAUUUGUUCAUCAAAUUUAAUUAGUUUUCAUGAUCGUAAAGGAUCACGCGUGAUGACGUCAAGCUGUAUUGAUGAUCCAAACAUUAAAAAUUAAAAUUGAGAGGCACAAAAUAUAUAUUUUUGGAACAGCAGCAAGAUUUUAUAUCAAACCAAAAAAACCAACAAAAAACUAACAAAUACAAAAUUAAGACGUAAUAAAGUUAGUUGUGGUAUCUCAAUAUUCCCCAGUAUCUCGGCAUUCUCUGUUCAUUUAAACCGUGAAAAAUUAUUCAAAUCGGAAGAAACCAAAAAGAGUCCGUGAAACGAAUCAUAUUCUCCAUCUAUCUCUCUAAAUCCACCUCCUUCUCGCACCCUAAACCUCUACCCUUUUUGCAGCUACCCAAAUCCGUACACCACCGACGUAAAGUCAUCAUUACUACUACCGGAUCGAUUAUUUUCACGUCCAGAAAGCAAAAGCCAAUUUACUGAUUUUUGUCGUGGGUUUGUUUGGUUACAUGUAUGACGAAGUUUAUGAAGACACGGGGAAGCUAAGUCAAAGGAGUGGAAGUCGUUUCAUUGGAUUUGGUUUGAAAGACAUAAGUGGCACUUAUAUUGAGGUCAUACCAAGUGAAAUCAACGUCACUGGAAGAUAAGGGUUGUUUUCAUUCCAUGUUUAAGAAUGUGAAGUACUUCUGAAGCAUCAUAUGUUCAUGCGUUCUUUCUUGACCAUCCACUUCCCAAUCGUCAACUAACAUCUCUAUAACUCUAUCUCGACUCAAAAGAGGUAAAGCAACCUGAUUACCCUUUCCAUCUUACUGAAAAUGAAUGCAGUUUUCAUUUUUCCUAUUUUUCUCAAUCUGUGCCAAAUACAUCUGUUUUAAUAAGGUUUGUUUACCUUUAUUGUGUUUGAUUUUCAUAAUUUUUGUUUUCAGAUAUGGUAGGUUUGAUUGCUCAUCUAUAUGUUCUCACGUUUCUUCUUUAUCUUAGAGGUUCCAUUGUUCCAUCAUUUUUCAUUAUGUAUCGAUUGAGGUGAUAUCUUUGUCUAAUAGAAUCAAGGGCAUGUGACAUUUUGUCGAUUUGUUGUUCAGUUAACCUAAAUUUUGAAUGUUUGUUUAUUUUUUGAUUUUGGGUUUAUUUAAUUCUAUGUCCGUGUUAUGAUUUUUCUA